rnacentral:misc_RNA from 1 species
ACUAAGAGAGACAAGAGAGACAGGAACCUGAAAAUAUGGCAACGUUGCAGAAGUUCAAGCUGCUCGCAACCGAAUGCGGAGUGGCUCAGAGUCCAACGCGAAGCCCGAGAACCCUGUUGUUCAUCUCCGUCGUAAGAAACCCACUCUCCGUAUGCUGCUCAGCCGAAGCUCAGGCUCUGGCCGCCGGUCACCUCCCAGACAUGAGCGACCUCCGAUUCAUUGCCAAC